rnacentral:rRNA from 1 species
UACAGAGGGGGCAAGCGUUGUUCGGAAUUACUGGGCGUAAAGGGCGCGUAGGCGGUCUUCUAAGUCUUGUGUGAAAUCCCUCGGCUCAACUGAGGAACUGCACGGGAUACUGGAAGACUUGAGUUCGGGAGAGGGAAGCGGAAUUCCGGGUGUAGCGGUGAAAUGCGUAGAUAUCCGGAGGAACACCGGUGGCGAAGGCGGCUUCCUGGACCGAUUACUGACGCUGAGGCGCGAAAGCUAGGGGAGCAAACAGG